UUAACUAUGUAGCCCAGGUUGACCUGGAACUCACUGUGUAGUCCAGGCUGGCCUCAACCUCAUGAUCCUUCUCUCUCUACCUCCCAAGCGCUGGGGUGCAUAGGGGUGUUCUACCA
rnacentral:miRNA from 1 species